AUGUCCAUCACCCCUGUUAUCGUGAUCCUCAACUUGAUUGUGCUGCUCACAAAUUUUGUCAAAGUUAUCUCGUGUUGGAGGGUAGGCGUUGACUUCUCCAGCAAACGAGUUGCUGAGUUCAUGAGGAAGCAGGCCAGGGAGGACCGUCCUAGUGUGUUCAACCCUGUCGCCAUGGAAGGCUACAGGUACCCUAUUCGAUGUGGUAGACACAAAUCGAUCACCAUCGACGAGGUUUGGAAAUUGGACAGCACGCUUUUCAGGUCAGGUGCUUCCACCAAGCUGAAAGAUUCUUGCCUAUCAUAUGCCCUGUUUAAGCUCUUGAGGCGGCAGUACCAUGGGAUGGAGUGUGCUGAAGCCGGCCUUCCCGAAACCCGUGAUUUUGUCUUGAAGGGUUUGCUGUUGACAGAAGACGACCAUCAGAUUGAAAGGGCGUUCAGCAUUGUGGAGGUAGAACUUGGUUUCUAUCAUGACUACCUCUUCACCAAAUACAAUAUCAUCCGUAAGCGGGAGAAACUGUUCUUCGCAAUGUUGCUUGUGAGGAUACUUCUUAUAUCUAUUGUUUUACACUAUGUCACCCGGAAUUCAUUGGCUGUCAUGACAGCAGCUGCUAUAAUUGAGGUGCAGACCAAGACUGUUGAUACUAUCAUUACUGUACUUGUUCUCACCAUUAUUCUCAUGGUUGAAGUUCUGCAAGCCGCAUUUUACCUGGCAUCAGACUGGGCCAAAGUGACACUUACCAAAAGAUAUUUAAGUAACCACUGUUACCGGGGCAAUGCUUGUUUGGAGAAGAUUAUUGUUUUCAUCAGCAAGGUCACCAUGUUCAGAUAUUGGGCAAAUCAAAUUGGACAAAGUUCAGUGAUUUCAGACAACAAAUAUUUUGCCAGACACCUGCAGUAUGUCAUAGAAAGCCCUCCACACUCACUUGCGAUGUUGUUCAGUAGCUUCAGUCUUGGCAAAAGGACAACCCGUGUGAGCAUAUGCAGCCCCGUCAAGAGAGCCAUCGCUAGGUCCAUUAAAAUGAGUAAAGAUCCUCUAACAAACGGCAAGUCAUCACUAGACCACAAUGGAGUGCUGCGAGGAUUCUCCUGGGCACUGAAUGGACAAACUCAGACAGAGAUCAUGCUAAUUUGGCACAUUGCGACUGAGUACUGCAACAUUGCUCAGCCUAAUACCACGGAAACAGGUGAGGUGCAAGACAUGAAGUGCCACCGUGAAGUUGCAGUCAGGUUAUCAAGAUACUGCGCAUACUUGAUAGAUUCUGCCCCAGAACUGCUUUCAGACUACAUGGAUACUGAGAUUCCCAUAGCUAAGAUGAUGCAAGAUAUGCGCAAAGUUAUGGGAAAAUGUACAUCCAUUCAUGCGAAAUUUGAGGUCAUGAAGCAUUUAGAAGAGUGUGAGGGGGAGGAGGAGGAGGAGGAGACCAUGUUCCGACGAGGGGUCAAGCUGGGGAAGCAGCUUGACUGCUUGGAUGCUGCUCUGCAAUGGAAGGUGCUGGAGGAAUUCUGGGCAGAGACCAUCGUCUACAUCGCACCUUCAGAUAAUGUCAAUGGGCACUUGGAACGCCUUGCAAAAGGCGGGGAGUUCCUAACCCACAUCUGGGCCCUGCUAUCUCAUGCUGGCAUCCGGGCGAUAAACAGGGUGCAAGAUAAGCACACCAUGCCCAGCCAUCCGUCCGAAGAAAAUGUGUGA
rnacentral:rRNA from 1 species